CAGCCGCAGAUAUCUGUGCUAAGGUAGCAUAAUCAUUUGUCUUCUAAUUAAAGACUAGAAUGAAAGGUCAAACGAAUAACGAAUUUCAAAUUAAUAUUAUAAUAAAAUUAAAUUUAAUGUAAAAAUACAUUAAUAAAAUAAAAAGACGACAAGACCCUGUCGAACUUAACUAAAGUUAAACUGGGACAGUAUUUUUAUAACCAUUAUAAUUUAUAAUCUUAACAACCACCCUUUACAGAAAAGAAAAAGUUACCGCAGGGAUAACAGCGCAAUUUAUUUCAAAAGCUCUUAUAUAAAAAUAAGAUUACGACCUCGAUGUUGAAUUAAUUUAUCAAAUAAACGCAAAAUUUUACAAGAAAGUCUGUUCGACUUUUAAAUAAUUACAUGAUCUG
rnacentral:rRNA from 1 species